rnacentral:rRNA from 1 species
GACGAACGCUGGCGGCGUGCUUAACACAUGCAAGUCGAACGGAAAGGCCCUGCUUUUGUGGGGUGCUCGAGUAGCGAACGGGUGAGUAACACGUGAGUAACCUGCCCUUGACUUUGGGAUAACUUCAGGAAACUGGGGCUAAUACCGGAUAGGAGCUCCUGCUGCACGGUGGGGGUUGGAAAGUUUCGGCGGUUGGGGAUGGACUCGCGGCUUAUCAGCUUGUUGGUGGGGUAGUGGCUUACCAAGGCUUUGACGGGUAGCCGGCCUGAGAGGGUGACCGGCCACAUUGGGACUGAGAUACGGCCCAGACUCCUACGGGAGGCAGCAGUGGGGAAUAUUGCACAAUGGGCGGAAGCCUGAUGCAGCAACGCCGCGUGCGGGAUGACGGCCUUCGGGUUGUAAACCGCUUUCGCCUGUGACGAAGCGUGAGUGACGGUAAUGGGUAAAGAAGCACCGGCUAACUACGUGCCAGCAGCCGCGGUGAUACGUAGGGUGCGAGCGUUGUCCGGAUUUAUUGGGCGUAGAGGGCUCGUAGGUGGUUGAUCGCGUCGGAAGUGUAAUCUUGGGGCUUAACCCUGAGCGUGCUUUCGAUACGGGUUGACUUGAGGAAGGUAGGGGAGAAUGGAAUUCCUGGUGGAGCGGUGGAAUGCGCAGAUAUCAGGAGGAACACCAGUGGCGAAGGCGGUUCUCUGGGCCUUUCCUGACGCUGAGGAGCGAAAGCGUGGGGAGCGAACAGGCUUAGAUACCCUGGUAGUCCACGCUGUAAACGGUGGGUACUAGGUGUGGGGUCCAUUCCACGGGUUCCGUGCCGUAGCUAACGCUUUAAGUACCCCGCCUGGGGAGUACGGCCGCAAGGCUAAAACUCAAAGGAAUUGACGGGGCCCCGCACAAGCGGCGGAGCAUGCGGAUUAAUUCGAUGCAACGCGUAGAACCUUACCUGGGUUUGACAUGGAUCGGGAGCGCUCAGAGAUGGGUGUGCCUCUUUUGGGGUCGGUUCACAGGUGGUGCAUGGCUGUCGUCAGCUCGUGUCGUGAGAUGUUGGGUUAAGUCCCGCAACGAGCGCAACCCUUGUUCACUGUUGCCAGCACGUUAUGGUGGGGACUCAGUGGAGACCGCCGGGGUCAACUCGGAGGAAGGUGGGGAUGACGUCAAGUCAUCAUGCCCCUUAUGUCCAGGGCUUCACGCAUGCUACAAUGGCUGGUACAGAGAGUGGCGAGCCUGUGAGGGUGAGCGAAUCUCGGAAAGCCGGUCUCAGUUCGGAUUGGGGUCUGCAACUCGACCUCAUGAAGUCGGAGUCGCUAGUAAUCGCAGAUCAGCAACGCUGCGGUGAAUACGUUCCCGGGGCU